UACGUAGGGUGCAAGCGUUAAUCGGAAUACUGGGCGUAAAGCGUGCGCAGGCGGUUAUGUAAGACAGAUGUGAAAUCCCCGGGCUCAACCUGGGAACUGCAUUGUGACUGCAUAGCUAGAGUACGGUAGAGGGGGAUGGAAUUCCGCGUGUAGCAGUGAAAUGCGUAGAUAUGCGGAGGAACACCGAUGGCGAAGGCAGUCCCUGGGCCUGUACUGACGCUCAUGCACGAAAGCGUGGGGAGCAAACAGG
rnacentral:rRNA from 1 species